rnacentral:rRNA from 1 species
GACGAACGCUGGCGGCGUGCUUAACACUUGCAAGUCGAACGGAAAGGCCCUGCUUUUGUGGGGUGCUCGAGUGGCGAACGGGUGAGUAACACGUGAGUAACCUGCCCUUGACUUUGGGAUAACUUCAGGAAACUGGGGCUAAUACCGGAUAGGAGCUCCUGCUGCAUGGUGGGGGGUGGAAAGUUUCGGCGGUUGGGGAUGGACUCGCGGCUUAUCAGCUUGUUGGUGGGGUAGUGGCUUACCAAGGCUUUGACGGGUAGCCGGCCUGAGAGGGUGACCGGCCACAUUGGGACUGAGAUACGGCCCAGACUCCUACGGGAGGCAGCAGUGGGGAAUAUUGCACAAUGGGCGGAAGCCUGAUGCAGCAACGCCGCGUGCGGGAUGACGGCCUUCGGGUUGUAAACCGCUUUCGCCUGUGACGAAGCGUGAGUGACGGUAAUGGGUAAAGAAGCACCGGCUAACUACGUG